GACGAACGCUGGCGGCGUGCCUAAUACAUGCAAGUAGAACGCUGAAGCGAGGAGCUUACUCUUCUUGGAUGAGUUGCGAACGGGUGAGUAACGCGUAGGUAACCUGCCUUGUAGCGGGGGAUAACUAUUGGAAACGAUAGCUAAUACCGCAUAACAAUGGAUGACACAUGUCAUUUAUUUGAAAGGGGCAAUUGCUCCACUACAAGAUGGACCUGCGUUGUAUUAGCUAGUAGGUGAGGUAAUGGCUCACCUAGGCGACGGUACAUAGCCGACCUGAGAGGGUGGACGGCCCCACUGGGAAUGGGACACGGCCCAGACUUCUAAGGGAGGCAGCAGGAGGGGAUCUUCGGCAAUGGGGGCAACCCUGACCGAGGAACGCCGCGUGAGUGAAGGAAGUUCUCGGAUCGUAAAGCUCUGUUGGAAGUCAAGAAAGGGUGUGAGAGUGGAAAGUUCACACUGUGACGGUAGCUUACCAGAAAGGGACGGCUAACUACGUG
rnacentral:rRNA from 1 species